GCAAUUUAUUUAUGUAGUUUAUAAAUAUAAAUUUUAAUUAAUUUGACAGCAUUUUAAACAUGAUAUCUGCAAAAGCACCAGGAGCCACCGCAAUUUGGGAAGCGCUGCUUAGAAUGAUGUAGAAUGAUAUGACCUGCCACAUUUAACUAAAACCACUUUAUGUCGUUUAUACACACUGUGAGAAAUGCACUUUAUGAGCCGUACGAGUUAUACGACGGGAUGAAAUAGUUCAGCGUAUUAAGAGACAGCGGCUACGCUGUCAAGGGCAUGUCGUUCAAAUAGAUGGUUGGAAAGACCAGGUGUAGAAGAACCUGAUUACAUUUGAAGUUUCCAAUUGGCGAAGAGGAAAAACGAUUGGCGCGCUUUUGUAAACUCAGCUAUAAUCAUGCUAAAUGGCAUCCCUUAUUUAUACCUGUACAUAAAUUUG